rnacentral:rRNA from 1 species
GACAGAGGUGCCGAGCGUUAGGCGGAAUCACUGGGCUUAAAGCGUGUGUAGGCGGAUCCGUAAGUACCUUGUGAAAUCCCACGGCUCAACCGUGGAACUGCUUGGCAUACUGCGGGUCUUGAGCCAUCUAGGGGCAACCGGAACAAACGGUGGAGCGGUGAAAUGCGCAGAUAUCAGGAGGAACACCGAUGGCGAAGGCAGGUCUCUGGGCCGAUACUGACGCUGAGGAGCGAAAGCGUGGGGAGCGAACAGG